CAAUACACGAGUGGCGCACGGGUGAGUAACGCGUGGAUAUCUGCCUUUUGGUUCGGAAUAACCCCGGGAAACUGGGGCUAAUACCGGAUGGUUCCUACGGGAUAAAGAUUUAUCGCCAAAAGAUGAGUCCGCGUACGAUUAGCUAGUUGGUGAGGUAAUGGCUCACCAAGGCGACGAUCGUUAGCUGGUCUGAGAGGACGAUCAGCCACACUGGGACUGAGACACGGCCCAG
rnacentral:rRNA from 1 species